UGACCAUGUACACAUGUCCAUUAAACAUUUUCUAGUAUUUUUUGAUUUCCAAACUAUCAUUGGGAUUUGGGGGAUUUUUUUCCAUAGAUACUUAGGAUAUUCAAAAAUUCACAUAACAUUAAACAGUAUGAGACCAUAACUCUGCUUUGAAAAUUACUCUUCUAAGGCUGUCAUCCCAGAAAAUGCCAGAAUGCACCAAAAUAAAAAUCUUCAUAAAAGCAUUUUGAAAACAAAAAUCUCUGAGUAAGUUUUGAGAUAUUCUAAAUUCACAUCAAAAUCUUGGACUCUGUGUCCAUGAUGCCAAACAUUUGGAGGAAGACUAGAAAAUACAGUUUAAAAUAGAAAUGUCCUGAAGUUCCCAGAUUUUAGGGGUUUGUGUAGAUAUCUUCAAAUAGACUCAAUUCCUUGCUUGAUAGGGUUUGGUUUUGAUAGUUGGUUUUUAUCACGCCAAAUUGCACUGCACAGUUGGGGCUGGAGGAAAGGUAAGUUUUCAUUUCCAGCAACGGAUCAUUGCUCAUCCGUAGCGAACAUCCACGCCCCAGUUGUCUCUUCCUCGUAUGUCUCCCUCUGGGGUUAGUGUUAAGGAAUAGUAAUUUUGUAUUAUGGUUUAUUUAAAAACCUCAGACAUCACCCUGAAUCAGAAUUUCAAAUGUUAGGUGACGGCAAGAAAUAAAUCUGUAGCAGGGGGAAAAAAAAGGGGUGACAGCUUAGAUGAAGUUUCAAACUGGAUGUUGUGAAACUGUUCUUGUGCAUUUAGCUGUCUUUUUUUUUUUUUUUCACAAUGUUAAUGUAAUUGUAGAAAUGCCAAAUUUAUAAUAUUGGAAAGGAAAACUAUCAUUUUGCUAUGCCUAAGAGUGUUUAUGUUUAAAUCUCCAGUUUUCUAAAGUGUUUUAAAUUGUUAAAAAUAUGCUGAAACUGGAUCAUUCUAACCUGUGUAGUGGUAUAAAGAAAGAAAGUCUUCUUGGCAUAUUUUCUAGUCUGAACCUUUUGGUUACUUUCAGGUAUUUUUCCCUGCAUUCACAAAGCCUUCAGUUACUGUUGUCUAAGGUUGUUCAAGCAGUAGUUAGAAAUGAUAUGGUAGGUUCUAAGCCAAGGUUUUCCUUGACUGUGACUGCCACACCCUGGAAUAUACUAUUUUAUGUUAUCUCUAUCAAAAUGUGAAUAAUAAAAUAUUGAUAGUAGUAGG
rnacentral:lncRNA from 1 species